rfam:Oryza sativa Japonica Group DNA, chromosome 2, cultivar: Nipponbare, complete sequence.
UUUAAAUAUAGUGAUUGUGGGUUUCUAUGUCCAAUGUUUGAUCGUCCGUUUUAUUUUAAUUUUUUUUAUGAUUAGUAUUUUUAUUGACUAGAUGAUAAAACAUAAAUAGUACUUUAUGCGUGACUUACUUCUUUUAAUUUUUUUUAUAAAUUUUUUAAAUAAGACGGAUGGUUAAACGUUGGUCAUAACAACUCACAACUACACUUAAC